rnacentral:misc_RNA from 1 species
GAUGAAGAACGUAGCGAAAUGCGAUACGUAAUGUGAAUUGCAGAAUUCAGUGAAUCAUCGAGUCUUUGAACGCACAUUGCGCCCCCUGGUAUUCCGGGGGGCAUGCCUGUCCGAGCGUCAUUGCCGCCCUCAAGCACGGCUUGUGUGUUGGGCCCCCGCCCCCCGGCUUCGGGGGGCGGGCCCGAAAGGCAGCGGCGGCACCGCGUCCGGUCCUCGAGCGUAUGGGGCUUCGUCACCCGCUCUGUAGGCCCGGCCGGCGCCCGCCGGCGACCCCAAUCAAUCUUUCCAGGUUGACCUCGGAUCAGGUAGGGAUACCCGCUGAACUUAAGCAUAUCAAUAAGCGGAGGA